rnacentral:rRNA from 1 species
GCGAACGCUGGCGGCAGGCUUAACACAUGCAAGUCGAACGGGCUUCUUCGGAAGUCAGUGGCAGACGGGUGAGUAACACGUGGGAACGUGCCCUUCGGUUCGGAAUAACUCAGGGAAACUUGAGCUAAUACCGGAUACGCCCUUUUGGGGAAAGGUUUACUGCCGAAGGAUCGGCCCGCGUCUGAUUAGCUUGUUGGUGGGGUAACGGCCUACCAAGGCGACGAUCAGUAGCUGGUCUGAGAGGAUGAUCAGCCACACUGGGACUGAGACACGGCCCAGACUCCUACGGGAGGCAGCAGUGGGGAAUAUUGGACAAUGGGCGCAAGCCUGAUCCAGCCAUGCCGCGUGAGUGAUGAAGGCCUUAGGGUUGUAAAGCUCUUUUGUCCGGGACGAUAAUGACGGUACCGGAAGAAUAAGCCCCGGCUAACUUCGUG